rnacentral:rRNA from 1 species
UACGGAGGGUGCAAGCGUUAUCCGGAAUCACUGGGUUUAAAGGGUGCGUAGGCGGCAUUAUAAGUCAGGAGUGAAAUUCCACAGCUUAACUGUAGGGACUGCUUUUGAUACUGUAGUGCUAGAACCGAGAUGAGGUAGGCGGAAUGUGACAUGUAGCGGCGAAAUGCAUAGAUAUGUCAUAGAACACCAAUUGCGAAGGCAGCUUACUAGACUUAGGUUGACGCUGAGGCACGAAAGCGUGGGGAGCAAACAGGGUUAGAUACCCUGGUAGUCCACGCCCUAAACGAUGCUAACUCGACGUUUGGGAUUAAUUUUUGAGCGUCCAAGCGAAAGCGAUAAGUUAGCCACCUGGGGAGUACGUUCGCAAGAAUGAA